rnacentral:rRNA from 1 species
AUUGAACGCUGGCGGCAGGCCUAACACAUGCAAGUCGAGCGCGAAAGGCUUUCGGGCUGAGUAGAGCGGCGGACGGGUGAGUAACGCGUAGGAAUCUACCUGGUAGUGGGGGACAACUUGGGGAAACUCAAGCUAAUACCGCAUACGCCCCAAGGGGGAAAGCGGGGGACCUUCGGGCCUCGCGCUAUCAGAUGAGCCUGCGUAGGAUUAGCUAGUUGGUGAGGUAAAGGCUCACCAAGGCGACGAUCCUUAGCUGGUCUGAGAGGAUGAUCAGCCACACUGGGACUGAGACACGGCCCAGACUCCUACGGGAGGCAGCAGUGGGGAAUAUUGCGCAAUGGGGGCAACCCUGACGCAGCCAUGCCGCGUGUGUGAAGAA